CGACACACGCUGGCGGAUUUUUCUCACUUCCUGUUUGGUCGCUGCUGCUGCAUGCUAACCUGACGCAGCAGUCUGUGUGCGUGCGCGUGCGUGAGCGAGCGCAGCUUGCAGGGGUGUGUCGUCCGUGCGACAGCGGACAUAUGGAGGAAAACCGACUCUAUAUUUACUACAUAGGGGGAAGGAGAACAUACAAAUAUUCAUAUUCAUAUACACAAAAAUAUCUCGGGCCGGUAGUGAUGUGCAUUCCAGUUCGUUUAAGUGAACUGAAUCUUUAGAAUCAGUUCAGCCAAAAGAGUCGUUCAAACGAAUCGUUCAACGAAGUCCGCGUUUUGGUCGAAAGAUGCCAGCAUGCGGUCAACCAAAAGCUCCACCUGUAGACAACGUAAAAGCUGCAUCAACGUCAAGUUGGAGGAUCCUCAACCACCGACCGGAUGGUGAUUGGAAAGAUUUUCCUCCAUCUGGCAUUCCGAGACAUCUCAAAAUGUUGAGUUUGAAAUAACAGUAAAAUCUAGUCUAUUGGGAAAUGUGAUUUAUUCAAAACACAAGUGUGUAAAUUUCAAAUGUUGUAUCUGUUUUUGUUCCAAUGUGUUAAAUAUUUUGUGAUUGAGCAAUCAUUGCAAGUUUUAAAUGUGCAAGUUCAAGUUUAUUGACAAGUGUAUUUCAUAAAUAUGAAUAAAUAUUGUUAUCCAAUAUA